CAGUAGCCGCGGUAAUACGUAGGGUGCGAGCGUUAAUCGGAAUUACUGGGCGUAAAGCGUGCGCAGGCGGUUCGUUAAGACAGAUGUGAAUCCCCGGGCUCAACCUGGGAACUGCAUUUGUGACUGCAUGACUAGAGUACGGCAGAGGGGGAUGGAAUUCCGCGUGUAGCAGUGAAAUGCGUAGAUAUGCGGAGGAACACCGAUGGCGAAGGCAAUCCCCUGGGCCUGUACUGACGCUCAUGCACGAAAGCGUGGGGAGCAAACAGGAUUAGAUACCCCCGUAGUCCCUGUCUCUUAUACC
rnacentral:rRNA from 1 species